AGGAUUAACGCUGGCGGCGUGCAUGAAACAUGCAAGUCGAGCGCGGCGCGUGGCUUCGGUCACGCGUCUAGCGGCGCACGGGUGAGUAACACGUGAGCAACCUACCUUCGAGUUCGGGAUAGCCCUGGGAAACCAGGAUUAAUACCGGAUGUGGUCACAACGGGACAUCCCGAUGUGAAAAAAGGCGUAAGCCGCUCGAUGACGGGCUCGCGGCCUAUUAGCUUGUUGGUGGGGUAACGGCCUACCAAGGCGACGAUGGGUAGCUGGUCUGAGAGGACGAUCAGCCACACUGGGACUGAGACACGGCCCAGACUCCUACGGGAGGCAGCAGUUAGGAAUUUUCCGCAAUGGGCGAAAGCCUGACGGAGCAACGCCGCGUGUGUGAUGAAGGCCCGUGGUUGUAAACUUCUUUUCUUAGAGAAGAAUCCGAGAGGAGGACGGUAUUUGAGGAAUAAGCAUCGGCUAACCCUGCGCCAGCAGCCGCGGU
rnacentral:rRNA from 1 species